GAUGAACGCUGGCGGCGUGCCUAACACAUGCAAGUCGAGCGAGGAGGUUAUGAAAGAAGCUUCGGUGGAUUGAAUAACUGGAAAGCGGCGGACGGGUGAGUAACGCGUGGGUAACCUACCUUGUACAGAGGAAUAGCCAUUGGAAACGAUGAUUAAUGCCUCAUAAGACUACAGUGUCACCUGACACAGUAGUAAAAACUCCGGUGGUACAGGAUGGACCCGCGUUAGAUUAGUUAGUUGGUGAGGUAACGGCUCACCAAGACAGCGAUCUAUAGCCGACCUGAGAGGGUGAUCGGCCACACUGGAACUGAGACACGGUCCAG
rnacentral:rRNA from 1 species